AGAGCAUCCAAACAAUUACCAUAGAGGGUCUUCCUCGUCUGAAAACACUAAGUGGGAAAGCUCUUGAGGGAUUCAAGUAUCUUCAAGUUUUGGAAAUUAAGCACUGCCCUCAGCUUCAAUCACUAUCAGCGGAAGGUCUUCAAGGCCUCACCUCUCUUGCAACAUUAGAGAUUGAAGACUGUUGUCAGCUGAAAUCACUUCCAGAAGUAGGGUUGCCUUCCUCACUUUCUGUUCUGAAGAUCUCUUCCUGCCCACAGUUUCUAUCACUACCAAAAAAGGGUCUCCCCUCCUCUGUGUGUCGAUUAGAGAUCAAUGACUGUCCAUUGCUCACUCCUCGUUUACAUAACAAGAAAGCGGAG
rnacentral:misc_RNA from 1 species